UACGGGAGGCAGCAGUGGGGAAUAUUGCACAAUGGGCGAAAGCCUGAUGCAGCUAUGCCGCGUGUAUGAAGAAGGCCUUAGGGUUGUAAAGUACUUUCAUCGGGGAGGAAAAAACAAAACUAAUAAUUUUAUUUCUUGACGUUACCCGAAAAAGAAGCACCGGCUAACUCCGUGCCAGCAGCCGCGGUAAUACGGAGGGUGCUAGUGUUAAUCAGAAUUACUGGGCGUAAAGAGCACGUAGGUGGUUUUUUUAAGUCAGAUGUGAAAUCCCUGGGCUUAACCUAGGAACUGCAUUUUGAAACUGAAAUACUAGAGUAUCGUAGAGGGAGGUAGAAUUCUAGGUGUAGCGGUGAAAUGCGUAGAUAUCUGGAGGAAUACCUGUGGCGAAAGCGGCCUCCUAAACGAAUACUGACACUGAGGUGCGAAAGCGUGGGGAGCAAACAGGGAUUAGAUACC
rnacentral:rRNA from 1 species